rnacentral:misc_RNA from 1 species
AAGUCGUAACAAGGUUUCCGUAGGUGAACCUGCGGAAGGAUCAUUAAAGAGUUGUCCUGCACCCCCUGGUGGGAUGGUCGUAGCGGAGUGAACCGGUUCACCCGUCCUCAUCCCCUGUGUAUACCUUCCACGUUGCUUUGGCGGGCCUGGGUACGUCCUUCUGGGCACCCUGCCGGCGUCGGACUUCGUCCCCGCCGGCGAGCGCCCGCCAGAGACCCUUACCAUUCUGAUUUUUUUUCAAUGUCGUCUGAGCAAAACACAAAAUAAAAUAAAA